CCUUUUGGCUUUGCCGCAGUCGGGUAAAAAUUAAAAAAUUAUUUCAUUUAUUACCGAUUAUAAUAUGUGUACAAGAGGCAGGUAAUGCAGUUGUAUAGUAACUUUUUUGGAGUCGGUUUGGACCGAAAAAACAGCGGCUAUGUGUUUCAGAGGCAUGGUGUUGAGAAACCUUCAAUUGCCAAAGAUAAUAUAGGAUUAAAUAUCUAGCUAAUAGUUCUUUAAAUAAUAAAGCGUUUUGUAUAUUGAAAUUUGAAACACCUAAGACGUUGCCAGUCUCCUUUAGGAUUAUAUUUUAUGCUAUUGCCAAUAUAUUUUGUAAAAUUGUAUGCGGAAAUAUUCAUUAUAAUACUGUGUGAGUAAGCAGGGCUGAGUGAGAUCUAGAGAGCGUAGGUACUUUAACGUUGCAAUGCUUUUGCAGUUAAAACUUUUAACUGAAACUUAAGUAUUCUGGCGCACUCCUCAGCGCUUUACAGUAAAAACGUACUAUGACUCUCAUUGAAUAUUUAGUUACAAGAAAGAAUUCCGUUUCUAGAACAUGUCUACAAAAUUUCAUCGAGUUUCAUUGGUUAAUAUUAAAAUGAGUAUGGAAAGUGCUGGGGAGCGCCCUAAGGCUACUUCUUAUAAGUCAGUAAAAUCAAAGUACGCUCUAUAUAAGCUGCUAGGCGAAGAGGUAGAGGUAAAAAGUGUAUUAAAAGAUGCCAUAUUUUAAUUGAAAAAUUGUAAAGCAUGUCUGGUAUUUCAACCAAAUGAGUAUAUUAUAAUUAAGUAUUUUUUGUACUUUAAUUUACAAAGACAUUAGUUGUAGGUACCUAUUUGAUAAUAAUAUUAUUAUUUCCAUUAAAGCGAAGCGAGGGUCGUAAAAUUCAGUACCUACCUACUGAUAAUGCGAAUGACUUCAUAAAAAUGGCCGAACGUAAUUUUUUGCAGGCUGCUGCGUGCGGGCAAUUCUUUUUGCCAGGUUUUUGUUUACAUUUUUACAACUUGGAUGCCCGUUUCAUAGUAAUUUUGACAGCUUCAUAGACCUAUGUUUGAAAUUGCCUUUCUAUAGCUUUAUAUAUAGGUAUACUAAUUUAGUUGAAUGUUAUUUAUCUAUAUUGUUUGCAAAGUUAAGCAACAAAAUAUAUUAUUUUAUUAAGUUUUAUUGUCUUCCAAAAGUAGAUUGUUUCUUUGUGUCUGCGAGAAUAACUAGAUUUAUGUCUGACUACAAAAGUGCUUGCUAUAAAGGUUCAUGAUGAUUACAUUACCUAUUAUUAAAUUUACACAAGGUAAGGUAAUACCUAGCCACU